CGCUGCUCCACCUCUUUCUCUCCUUCCUUUUCCGCAGGGUCCUUCUGCCCCCUGGGGUUGCGCCCCUUCUGGAUUCCUCUGACGCUGAAUCCCCAGACUGCUCUUCCCCCCUCCUGCGGGCUUUGGGACCUGGCCCCUCCUCCGGACUCCCUGCACUUCCGCGCGCCUCUACAUUUGAACUAGGCGCGCGCGCCAAACCUCUAACUUUCCUUUUGACAGUUACACUACUCCCUUCACUGCUCCCCUCCCCUUCCGGGAGGGCGGCUUGCUCUGACCCCCCUCCUUUCUCUGCUGCUGGAGCUGCUUCCUCUGACACACUGGAAACUCCACCCCCUUCACUGCACUUUGGUGGGGAGGCUGGUCCUGACGCCCAGCUGCCACUUUGGGAUCCUCCGCUGGCACCCUGCUCCUGACACUUCCCCC